AAGGUAAUAGCUUAGUGGCAGAGCACGUGCUUAGCAGGCAUGAGGUCCUGGGUUGAACCCCCAGUACCUCC
rnacentral:tRNA from 1 species